CUCGGUACAACAGGUGUGUUUACAGUCAAACCUAGAGUUGUGACUGUCCUCGGUGCAACAGGUGUGUUUACAGUCAAACCUAGAGUUGUGACUGUCCUCGGUACAACAGGUGUGUUUACAGUCAAACCUAGAGUCGUGACUGUCCUCGGUACAACAGGUGUGUUUACAGUCAAACCUAGAGUCGUGACUGUCC